rnacentral:rRNA from 1 species
AGACCGUACUUGAGGAGGAGAGAUUAUAUUCUGUGAUACCAAAAGGACUGAUAAAGGCGAAGGCUGUCUUUUAUGUAAUAACUGACGUUGGAGGACGAAGGCAUAGAGAACGAACAGGAUUUGACACCCUAGUAGUCUUUGCAGACAAUGAUGAAUGCCAUGGACUAGAUAAAGCAUUAUGCGAUAAAUUUAGUCUAUAAAUGAAAAUGAAAGCAUUUCACCUCAAGAGUAAUGUGGCAACGCAGGAACUGAAAUCACUAGACCGUUUCUGACACCAGUAGUGAAGUAUGUUAUUUAAUUCGAUGAUCCACGAAAAACCUUACCACAACUUGAAUAUCUAGUAAAUAGAUACAGGAGUUGCACGGCUGUUUUCAGUUAAUGUUGUGAAACUGUGGUUUUUCCAUGAAAUUAACGGAAUCCUUUGCUUUAUUUAUAGAAUGUUUUAUAAAGCAAUCUUUCUUUAUAGCGGAAAAGAUAAGAAGGAAAAAGACAAGUCAUCAUGGCCCUUAUGUUGUGGGCUAUAGACGUGCCACGUAGUCCUUAACAAAGAGAUGCGAAAAUGCGAAUUUUAGCUAAUCUCAAAAAAGAGGAUAUAAAUUAUACAAGGAUUGUAGUCUGAAACUCGACUAUAUGAAUAAGUAAUUACUAGUAAUCGUGAAUCACCAUGUCACGGUGAAUUUAAUCUCGGAUUGGUACUAACCACUCGUCGC